AACGAACGCUGGCGGCAUGCCUAACACAUGCAAGUCGAACGAGACCUUCGGGUCUAGUGGCGCACGGGUGCGUAACGCGUGGGAACCUGCCCUUAGGUUCGGAAUAACUCCCCGAAAGGGGUGCUAAUACCGGAUAAUGUCUUCGGACCAAAGAUUUAUCGCCUUUGGAUGGGCCCGCGUUGGAUUAGCUAGUUGGUAGGGUAAAAGCAUACCAAGGCGACGAUCCAUAGCUGGUCUGAGAGGAUGAUCAGCCACACUGGGACUGAGACACGGCCCAGACUCCUACGGGAGGCAGCAGUGGGGAAUAUUGGACAAUGGGCGAAAGCCUGAUCCAGCAAUGCCGCGUGAGUGAUGAAGGCCUUAGGGUUGUAAAGCUCUUUUAACCGGGAUGAUAAUGACAGUACCGGGAGAAUAAGCUCCGGCUAACUCCGUG
rnacentral:rRNA from 1 species